AUACGAAGGGGGCUAGCGUUGUUCGGAUUUACUGGGCGUAAAGGGUGAGUAGGCGGUUGUAUAAGUCAGAUGUAAAAGGCACAGGCUUAACUUGUGUAAGCAUUUGAAACUGUACAACUUGAGUGCAGGAGAGGUAAGUGGAAUUCCUAGUGUAGCGGUGAAACGCGUAGAUAUUAGGAGGAACACCAGUGGCGAAGGCGACUUACUGGACUGUAACUGACGCUGAGUCACGAAAGCGUGGGUAGC
rnacentral:rRNA from 1 species